AGGAGUAUGGACUCUGGAGUCAUAGGGCUGGAAUGCAAAUCUCAGCUCUAUCGUUUACCAGCUGUGCAACUUGGGCAAGUUACUCUCUAUUACUCUGUUUCCACAUCGGUUUACUCUGAUGGAUACCCUGACUGGUCAAUGGGCAGACAGGCCACCACCCCCUCCCCUCUGGACCCUACAUGGCAAAAGGCUUGGCAGACGUGACAAAGUGAAGAGUCUUGAGAUGGGGAGAUGAUCCUGCAUUGUCUGGAUGGGCUGGGUGUGGUCGUGACAGUUUUCAUAAGAGGGCUGCAGGACUACACUUUCUUCCUGAGAGGGUUCCUAACUUCUCUGAAGUCAAGUUGAGCGUCCACAUCUAAAGCCCCAGGAUGAGCCUCCUGGUGGAGGAGAGUGCUCCUGCCUCUCCUGCCUCUCUUUAUGGAUUGUAUGUCAAGGAGACACCCGCAAGGACUCUGGUGGCCUGGACAUACUUCUGGAAGACUGACUCUUCCAGACUGAUGAAACCAAAGGACUGGACAGUGUUGAAUCCUUGGGGGGAAGAAAAACCAACACUUUUUUUUUAAGCUGACAGCACAUUCCAUCCACUCGGCAAUGUAGAACUAAUGAAGAUAUAAGUGUAAGAAAACCUAUAAUUGAAUCCAGCACGUAGCAAGCAUAGUUGAGCGGCGAGUACACCCAAGCUGAAAUCACAUGUGCUCCUGUCUAAUCCUCUCCGGGCGCCCAGCACAGGGAAAUAUUUCUGGAUUGUGUCUCAGGCUGUGAUUUCUAUCCAAGGCAGAAUAGAAACGGCCUUUUCCCUGGGCAGAGGCUUUGGGCUGUCAGGGGACACCUGAGUUGCCUUUGAUAAGGCUGCCGUUUGGAUGGUGAUUUAAAGAGCAAGUCUAGAAAAAAAUAACCUUGAGAAAGAGGAGUGUUUUGGACUAGAGCCCUUCUUGCGCGCUUUCAUUCCGCUUCCCUUGCCAGUGUUUCUCAGUUUCCCCCAUGGUGGCUGGAGGUGCGUCUGUCCCCACAACCCAGAAUUGGGGCAGUCCCUCAGGAGCUGCUUUUCGAUCCCAGCCCUCUGGUGUCCAACAUUCAGAGCAAGCCCGAUCAACCCAGCCCACUAAGUUCCCUGCAUCCGAGGACCCCUUUGAUGCGUGGAUCCGAGUGGGAGGGAGGCCAGAGUGCAACUGUGUUUUCCUUUCAACAUUCCUCAGGAGUGAUUCACUGCCAGGUGUCCCCAAUACCCCCAGCUGCUCCGUCCCCUGCAGUUGUUCCGUAGGGAUGAGGCUUUUUGAUGCCCUGUCCUUGGCCCUGCCUGGCUUCCUGUCUGGGGCAGGAGAGAGCAGAAUGGCCCCCAGAAACUCUGCUCUGGAUGUAGGACUGCUUGCUCUGGAAGCUGUGGUGUGUGCCUCUGGCAGGCUGCUCUGACCAGCAAGCGGCAGCUGGAUGCUUUGUGCACUGAACUAAGGCUGCGGUGGGUUGAAUGUGCAUACCUCUGCGUGGCUCCCACAGUACCCACCACUCCCUGUUGUUUCCUGCUCAGUGUAACGUUCUAUUUCGUUAUCUGGGUUCUCUGCUGGGCAGUGUUUGAGUUUAGACCCUGACCAGAGAGAGGGAGCAGGUGCUGUGCCAUGUGGCCACUGUGGCGGAUUUAUGCAGGGGCACCCACUCCCCGGCUGCCCCUGCCUCCAGGCAGUUGAGCUGAGGGUGUUUGCUCAGCUGCCCUGGCGCCUAGCCUGUGGGGCCAUGGCCUUCUGCUUCUAGGCCAUGGAAGGUGGCAUGGGCCCAGAGAAUUGGGCAGGUGUGCUGCCAGGCCCAGUCCCCGGGGCCUUGGGGGCCUGGAUUGGAAGCUGCAGGGAGGUCCCUGGGAGUCCUCUGAGCAGGCGGCCUGCGUUGGGACACCCUGGCCUUUUAGCUGUUGAGUCCUAGUUGGAAGGGGCAUUCAUUCCAGGGACAUUCUUUCUGUCUGGAGCAGAGACUUGGCCUGAACCUUGAACCAAAAACCGGAACAAACUGCACUCGUUUGCUCAACCUCGAACCAAAUCCAAAUAUUGUUUAUAUCGCUGAGAACCAAACCAGGGUUCUGGGGUUUGGUUUGGUUUGUUUUCCCACCAGAGAACAUUUAGGGAACAAGGCUGAGCUGCAACAGGACUAGGAGGGAACCUGAAGAGGCCCUUUGUGUGGAUUUUGGACUCAGCGAGCUCUCGGUCAGGGGAACACUGCAAGACACAGUUAGGUCUGCAGAGGUUGCACUAGGUGGACUGUAGGGCUGGAGAAGCUAUGGGGCCAACGUCUGUCCUGAGGAGAGGACAGUCACAAGUCCACAUCUCUGUAAACAGUGCUGUGUGGUGUGGGAUGCCCCGUACAUUGCUACCAGGCAGCAGUGAUGACUAGGGGAUGCCAACGGUGGGUACAGAACUGCAUACAUGGAGGGAACUUUAAUGAAAUCAUGCACCGAUUGAUUUUUCUGAAUUUAUUUCCGGUUUACUCUAGGUCACUCAAUAGCCAUCUGCUUAGCACCUGGCGCCAUACUGAGGCAGAUCCCAAAGAAACAGCAAAGGGUUGGCCUCCACUCUCUCCGAGUCCUUGGUACACUUUGGGGGCUGGCGCUACAGUGUCUUGGAGAUACACUGUCAUGUUCAAAUAGUGUAGCUCACAAAUUCAUGUCCCCUUGGAAGCUCAGGAUGUGGCCCUAUCUGGAAAUAGGGUCUUUGUAGAUGUAAUUCAUUAAGGUUCUCAUGACAAAAGCGUCCUGGAUUUUGAGUGGGCAUGAACUCCAAUGACUGGUGUCCUUGUAAUAAGAGGAGAGGACACACAGCCACACAGGGAGAAGGAGGCCACAUGAAGACAGGGGCAGAGGCUGGAGGGAGGCAGCCAGAAGCCAAGGAGGCCAGGGAGGAGUUGCUCCUGGAGUCUUCGGAGGGAGUGCAGACCUGUGACACUGUGAAAGGUGUCCCUUUCCUGUGGGAAAGUAAAUAUCUGUUGUUUGAAGCCACUCACAGUCACACAAACCAAAUAGUGAAGCCCCCGAGAUGCCACACUCACACCUCCUUUCUUUGAAAAAGUGAAUUCUUCUGCAUAAUUAGCCACAUUUUUGUCAUGUGACCUUGCCACCCUGGUCACACAUGGUUGGACCCAGGAUUGGUUGGACAUAUGGCAAUGCCCAUGCUGGAUUGGGAGAUUUCUCAUCAGCUUGUCCUUUGAGAAAAAGAGACACAUGCACACAGAGGGGCAUCUGGUGGAAGUCAAGAUAUGGAGCAGGAGGCAGAAACCUGAAAAUAGGUUGAUGCAGAGAGCGGCAAGAAGCUCUGAUGAAGAGAGAGCGAGCGAGAGUGAGAGUGUUAGGGGCAGUCUGCAGAAUCGGUGGCCAUGUUGCUCACUCAGCAGAAGCACUGUUAGAUCCUCCAAGAAGCCUGGGUCCGGCUACUGUGAAUGCAUUUGCUUCCUAGGCUCCUGCACUUCCUCUGGAUUCUCGUAGUCCAGCCCCAAGUCCAGAGAGAACCCGGGCACUCCUCUGUUCCCGGCAAAUGAAACAGCCCAGCCAACACCAAACACAGGUGACACCACCGAGAAAAAUAGGCACUCACAUUUGGUUGUGUUUCAUCCAAGGCCAGCCCGUAUAUAAACUAUUUCCUGGCUGUGUUACCCGUGCAGUUGCUUAACCUCUGUGAGUGUCAUCUAUCAAAUGGAGUUCAUGCCAUCCUCAGAGGGUUUUGUGAGGAUUAAAUAAGCCAUAGAAAACGAAACACUCACUCCAAUGCCUGGCAUCAAGCAGGGUCCUCAUGGUUUCCUUUGCUUCGAGGGGAUGCAGCAAUUCAAAGUCUGGAUUGAGGUCUGGGUCUAUAGUGUUGAAAACUGACACAUGCUUCCACAUGCUUCCAGUUUAACCAGUCUGCAAGUGAUAUUUUGAAAACUCUUUGGAAGGGUUCAGUUCAAGUUUCCAUAACACAAUUGAACUUGGGUGGAAAUUUAGCAAAGCAGUGUGUUCCUCCUCCCCGCCCUGGACUUUUUUUCUUUCUUGUUUAUGGCUUGAUUUUCACUGAUGUUCCUGCAAGAACUCAUCCAUACAGCAUUAAUUAAGACAUCAGCAGAGGCCCUGAAAGUUGAUUUUUGGAGCCCAUUAGCCUGCCAGAACAUUUCCUAGCUUAUGAAAAAAUUUUUUUUACAAGUCUGAUAACACUUUGUACAUCAUUGGACCUCAACAGUAUCGCGCAACCAAAUCAGCACUGGCCUCACCCUCACUGUUUCCUAACGCUGCGCCAUUCUCUAGUGCUCCAGCUCUGGGCCACGCCCCCGGCCUGGGCACCCAGUCCUUUAAGAGAGACAGCAUAAGAUUUUUAAAAUGUGGAAUCAUGUUCCUCACGGGCACGCGACUUAGGAAAAACAAGGAGAGUUGAGGCAAAACAGAUCAUAUUAUCUAGUGCAGCCUAUCGUGUCUUCCGGAGGUAGAAAUGCUUCUUUAGGAGGUCCCCAGUGCGGUUCCCAGGCCCUGUGCCUCCAGUUCCACCCUCUGAUUUUCAUCCUUGGUCUUCUCCUCUUCCUACCAGGCUGGCUCAGCCGCCAGCCUGCUCUGUGGCUGAGCAGUUCCGUAGCAGGGCUCUGCUGCAUGCAUUUCCCAGUGUGCUUUCCCAGUGAUGGCUCCCAGUGGAGAGGAUAAAGGUGUGGUGGGAAAGGAAAAAAGACCCCCAUGUGAAUGACCAAAAAUAGCAGCUCUAGCUAGGGGAGGGCAAGGAGGCGGGGGGCAAGAAAUGGGGAUGUAUACAGAGGCUGUGAGGGGCCCUGUAAUGUUUUAUUUCUUUUUUGAGAUAUGGUCUCACUCCCGUCGCCCAGGCCAGAGUGCAGUGCACCACCACGCCUGGCUAAUUGUCUGUAUUUUUUUUAGUAGAGAUGGGGUUUCACCAUGUUGCUCUGGCUGGUCUCAAACUCCUGGACUCAAGUGAUCCACUUGCCUUGGUCUCCAAAAGUACUGGGGUUACAGGCGUGAACUACCAUGCCUAGCCUGUUUUAUUUCUUUGUUUUAAAAAAAGGUUGGUGGGAAAAAUGGCAUCAUGAUAAGACAAUAAGUUUGGUUAGAGCUUACAAGAUAUGUGCUAGUAUUCUCCCGACUUGCUUAUAUGUUUGAAAUAUCUUAUAUUUAUAAAAUUUUUGAAUUUUUGUUGUCAUUUUUUAGAGACAGUGUCCUGUUGUUGCCCAAGCUAGAGUGCAGUGGCACGAUCAUGGCUCACUGCAGCCCCAAUCUCCUGGGCUCAAGCAAUCCUCCUGCCUCAGCCUACCAAGUAGCUGAGACCACAGGCAUGUGCCACUACACCCAGCUGGUUUUUUAAUUUUUUGUAGAGACAGGGUCUUGCUAUGUUACCCAGGCUGGCCUUGAACUCUUGGCCUCAAGCUUAUAAUAAAGCUUUAUUUUAAAAAUACUUGGAAAGAGAUGUUGGACUUAAAAAGAAUAAAAUAAAAAAGAAUUUCCUGUGUUGAGAAAGCUUUUAAAAGCAGUCUAUACGGAAUUUGCCCUACGUGAAUGAGAACUGGGGUAUUGAAAUUCUUCUUGAGUAUUUGAAUGACUAUUUGAGCACAUCAUAGAGAUAUAGAUUGAAAUAGCUUCCCCUGUCACAGAAAGCCACAUAUUUAAUCCAUUGACACAAUGUAGACCUUUGAAGUAUCUGACCCUGUAUGAAGGUUUCUUCAAACGAUGAUUCUGCUUUAGGGCCCUCUUUGUGAUGGGAUUUUUCAUUCUUUCCUCCAAAGCCAGUUUAUUUCUCAAGAUUGUUCUCUGCUGAAUAAGAAGAGAAGUAUUUGGGCAAUCACUGCCCGUAGCUAGGACUCUUGUUCCUUGGGAUCUGGGGCCAAAGCGAGGAUUGUUUUCGAGGCUCCAGGAUGACCGUGUGUCGUGAGAGCAGCUGUUGCGUGCUCAGCUCUUGUACGCUGGGCCUGUGUAAGUGUUCCUGGAUCUACAUCCUGGUGUCCUCAAUGCACUCCUGCGAUGUCCAUGAGUGCUGGAGGUCAGGCAGGGCAGCGAGUUCAUUCACACCCAGAAACUGAGGCAAGCUCUAAUUUGCUUCUGAGAUGGCUAAGGACUAGGGGAACACUAUUUAUGGAGGCUUGAACCCCUUCAUUAUGACCUGGUGCUGUUCGGAUUUCUCUUUGUGUGUGCAUCCCUGGAGGUAUAUAGUUACCUUUUCCUUGACUAAGAGCUUUCAGAACAUGGAGAGGCCAUGCACAAGAAGACCUCCUACAACCAGCGGUGACCUCUUUGAUUUCUUGGAGGGUUUGUGUGGUGAUUUUAGCCAGUCCUCCAGGACUUGACCUGGGCAGCAAUGAAGGGCCCAAGGUGUGCUGAGUGUGCUGCAGAGGAGAGUCAGAAGCCAGAGAGGGGCUGUUGUGCCCUCUGCUUGUUACAUCACUUGAAUGAACACCCUUCUCAUGGUGAUGAUAAUAUCCAAUCAAAACAUUGCCUAGUAAAUGAAAGAACUCCCAGGGAACAAAGCAGGACCAAUUUAAGCAACAAAAUAAAGUAGUAUUGCAUUCUAACCUAAAAUAUAAAAUAAAUAACCACAAGUCCAUUUUGAUAUAAACACAUGAUUGAUAUGUUAAUAAAUUGAGGAGAAAAUAACAAAUAUCCUAUGUGGGAAAAUCCCAAGUAAUUUAUGUAGCUAUUUUUGUUGUUGUUGUUGUUUUUAGAGACAAGGUCUCACCCUGUUGCCCAGGCUGGAGUGCAGUGGCACAAUCAUGGCUCACUGCAACCUCUGCCUCCUCAGGAUAAAGGGAUCCUCCUGCCUCAGCCUCCUGAGUAGCUGGGACCACAGACGCAUGCUACCAUGCCCGCCUAAUUUUUGUAUUUUUUGUAGAGACGGGAUUUCACCAUAUUGUCCAGGCUGGUCUUGAAUGCCUAGGCUCAAGCAAUCUGCCUGCCUCAGCCUCCCAAAGUGCUGGGAUUACAGGUGUGAGCCGCUGGGCCAGGCUAUUCUACCUUAAAGGAGGUGGAGAAUAACUCAUCACUCCUCAAGCGUGGGUUGUGCAUAGCACGUUUCUUCCAAAGAGUUCGCCAUGCAAAGUGGGGAAAACUGGGCAGUGGGGAGUGGAGAGACCUGACAAACACUACCUCAGCCAGGCGGUCAAGGCCAGCACCAGCAGUCAUAAACCAUGUGGACAGCAUGACCCUGGAUAUGAUGUGCUGAAAAUAGUGCUUUACUUCUGUGAUCUGCCUUCCACAAACCCAUACCCUCGGUAAAAUUAUGAGAGAAACACCAGACAAAUUCUCAUAGUAGGGCAGCCUGCAAUAUACCUGCCCAGUACUCAUCAGAACUGCCAAGGUUGCUAAAAACAAGGGAAGUCUGAGAAACUCACAGCAAAGAGGAGCUUCAGGAGACAUGACAGCUAAAUGUGAGGUGGCAUCCUGGAUGGGUUCCUGGAACACGAAAAGGACAUCAGGCUAAAACUAAGGCAACCUGAAUGAACCAUUGAAUUUAGUUAAUAAUAAUGUUUCAAUCUUGGUUUUUUAAUUAUAACAAAUGUACCACACAUAUGAGAUGCUAGUAAUAGGGGAAUUGUGUGUGUGGGAGGGGUGGGUGGGGUAUAGAUGGGAACUCUGUAUUCUCUAUGCAAUUUUUCUGUAAAUCUAAAACUGUUCUCAAAAAGUCUAUUAAUUUUUUAAAAAUUAAGGAAAAUAGGAAAAAGUACACUGAGAUGACAAUAGCAGACAUUUUUGUUCCAUGCAUACAUAAAUAAUUAAGAUGUCAUAUUUAUUUCAAGCUUCUUUAAUACAUAAAUUAUAAAAGUUGAAAAAAAUGUUGCUGCAAUGGAUCAACUAAAAAUAUGGUUGUAAAAAUACUAUAGCAUCUGUGGUGGAUUUAAGAUGGUCACAGAUUCUUUGGCUCUCUGUUUCUUCACCCCCUUGAAUCUGGGCAGAAGUGAUGUGUGCCAGUACAAGGCUUGUCUUUGACAAGACUGGCUGUUUCUGCCUUCUGGAACAUGGCAGCCAUGUUGUGAGGCAGCCCAAGCAGCCACGUAGAGAAGCUCACGAACUUUCUUCAUAUACUGACAGCCCAGUUGAACUUCCAGCCCACAGCUAGCACCAACUUGCCAGCCAUGUGAGUGAAUCAUCGUGGAAAUGAUAUCUGCCAGCCCUGGCCAAAAUGCCCCAGCUGAUGCCACAUAAAGCAAAAAUUAGCAGUUGCCACCAAGCCCUGCCUAAAUUGCAAAAUCGUUGAGAUGUUUCCCAAAAUGCCUCACAAAUAUUCUGGGAUGUCACCUUUUGCAAUGGAUCUGCAGGUUCCAUCGUGCCCUAGCUUUUUGCCUGAGGGGAGGCUCUGGCCAUGGGUCCCUUUUCAGGUCAGCAAGAGUGCCGUGCAGAGCAGGAGCCCCAUCCAAUGCUCUACAGCUCUGGACUCCUGCCAAUCCUCCCUUGGCCAAGGCCUCCAGAAGUCAGAGAGCGAGGGAACAUAUGAACUAUCUAUCCUGGUCUACUGUCAAUCUCCUUCCACUGAAAUAUCAGCUCCACAAGGCUAGUGGUGUCAUGGAUUUGCUCACUGCUGUAGGUGCCUAGUGAAUAUUUGCUGGAAAUGGAAUACAUGGAUAG
rnacentral:lncRNA from 1 species